AAACCAACAGGGAUUGCCCUAGUAACGGCGAGUGAAGCGGCAACAGCUCAAAUUUGAAAUCUGGCCCUAGCGGUCCGAGUUGUAAUUUGUAGAGGAUGCUUUUGGUGAGGUGCCUUCCGAGUUCCCUGGAACGGGACGCCGGAGAGGGUGAGAGCCCCGUACGGUUGGACGCCAAACCUCUGUAUAGCUCCUUCGACGAGUCGAGUAGUUUGGGAAUGCUGCUCUAAAUGGGAGGUAAAUUUCUUCUAAAGCUAAAUACCGGCCAGAGACCGAUAGCGCACAAGUAGAGUGAUCGAAAGAUGAAAAGCACUUUGAAAAGAGGGUUAAAUAGCACGUGAAAUUGUUGAAAGGGAAGCGUUUGCGACCAGACUUUUUCCAGGCGGAUCAUCCGGCGUUCUCGCCGGUGCACUCCGCCUGGUUGAGGCCAGCAUCGGUUUCCUUAGGGGGAUAAAGGCCUGGGGAACGUAGCUCCUUCGGGAGUGUUAUAGCCCCUGGCGUAAUACCCCUCGGGGGACCGAGGAACGCGCUCUGCAAGGAUGCUGGCGUAAUGGUCGUCAACGAC
rnacentral:rRNA from 1 species